UCGGGUCGGGUUAUUCGGGUUUUUUGCAAAAAACAAAUUACCCGAACCCGACCAGAGAUAACCCGGGUACCCGGUUAUUUCGGGUCGGGUUCGGGUCGGGUUCGGGUUUUGCUAUUUUUCUCUUUUUUUUUUUGUUUUUUUUCUCUAAUAAUUAUUUAAUACUUCUAAUUCUAAAUGUGACAUCACACUUUAUAAAAUAUCAAUUAGAUGUUGCUUUACUUGGGCUACAAAUACGGGAAGUAAAACAUAUUUUUAUAUACACAUUCAUAAAAACAAAAGUAUUGCUAAAUUUAUUACACAAAACAAUUAAUCAUCAAUGUUGUCAGAACCGGACCGGACGGCCGGUCCGUUCACGACCCGCCAAAAAUACGGUCUGAUUCAACCACACAAACCGGAAAAUUCAUUAACCGGGGCCAGUACGUCAAAAACCCGGUUCGACCGGAAAAUCCAAGAGACCCGGGAACCAGUUAAAAAACCGGGUUUUAGGCUAAAACGAUGGUAGAUGGCUGGAUUUGCGCGGAGGAUCACCGUGGUGGUCGGAUCUGGGCGGGGGAUUGCCUUGGACGGUCGGAUCUAGGUCGUAGGUGAUUCCAUCGAGUUGUGAAUGGCUAGAUCUGUGGGUUGAAGAAAAAACAAAACCGAGCAAAAAAGAUGAAUAAGUGAAGCGUGAAGAUGAGGAAGGUGAUGUUUUCUCUGCACAUGGAGAAAAUGGAGGAAAAGAAAAAAAAAAUAAAAAAAAUAAAUAAGGAAAGGGAUUGGGGCGUGGAGGUUGCAGAACGAAGAAGAUGAAAGAAAAGUUGGGAGUGGGGUAGGUGAGUGAAGAGGUAAGAAGGGAAAAUAAAUUAAAAAAUGGUAUAUUAAAAUUGAAUUAAAAAUACUGGAGUAAAGGUGAAAUAAACAGGAAGAAUAUCAUAAAAAACUCACAGAGAAUAAUAUUUUUAUAUUUAUCAAAAUAAUAAAAUAAUUAAAAAAUAAAAAUAAUAAAAAACCCGGGUUGACCCUGGUUGAACUGGUCCA
rnacentral:lncRNA from 1 species